rnacentral:rRNA from 1 species
GAACUACGAGUUUGAUCCUGGCUCAGACGAACGCUGGCGGCAUGCCUAACACAUGCAAGUCGAACGAGACCUUCGGGUCUAGUGGCGCACGGGUGCGUAACGCGUGGGAACCUGCCUUUAGGUUCGGAAUAACUCAGAGAAAUUUGAGCUAAUACCGGAUAAUGUCUUCGGACCAAAGAUUUAUCGCCUUUAGAUGGGCCCGCGUUGGAUUAGCUAGUUGUGGGGUAAAGGCCUACCAAGGCGACGAUCCAUAGCUGGUCUGAGAGGAUGAUCAGCCACACUGGGACUGAGACACGGCCCAGACUCCUACGGGAGGCAGCAGUGGGGAAUAUUGGGACAAUGGGCGAAAGCCUGAUCCAGCAAUGCCGCGUGAGUGAUGAAGGCCUUAGGGUUGUAAAGCUCUUUUACCCGAGAUGAUAAUGACAGUAUCGGGAGAAUAAGCUCCGGCUAACUCCGUG